AUUGAACGCUGGCGGCAUGCCUUACACAUGCAAGUCGAACGGCAGCAUGAUCUAGCUUGCUAGAUUGAUGGCGAGUGGCGAACGGGUGAGUAAUACAUCGGAACGUGCCCUGUAGGGGGGGAUAACUAGUCGAAAGAUUAGCUAAUACCGCAUACGACCUGAGGGUGAAAGUGGGGGACCGCAAGGCCUCAUGCUAUAGGAGCGGCCGAUGUCUGAUGAGCUAGUUGGUGAGGUAAAGGCUCACCAAGGCGACGAUCAGUAGCUGGUCUGGGAGGACGAUCAGCCACACUGGGACUGAAACACGGCCCAGACUCCUACGGGAGGCAGCAGUGGGGAAUUUUGGACAAUGGGGGCAACCCUGAUCCAGCAAUGCCGCGUGUGUGAAGAAGGCCUUCGGGUUGUAAAGCACUUUUGUCCGGAAAGAAAUCGCACUUACUAAUAUUAGGUGUGGAUGACGGUACCGGAAGAAUAAGGACCGGCUAACUACGUGCCAGCCGCCGCGGUAAGAC
rnacentral:rRNA from 1 species